UAACGCCGUCUUCCCCAGAGUUUCUGAAGAAACACAUUACUACUACACCUUUUGCUCAUCCAAACAUGUCAUCAAUCUCCUUAAAUUCAUAACACUUCCAUUGUAAAAAUUACAGCUUUAUGCUCAAAAAUGUCAACUCAAAACUUUUACAAAACUGUAAAACAACUUUUUCCCAACAAACCAAAUCAAGAAAUUGCCAAAUUGAUCUCCAAUACACUAAUAAAUUCCAGUUCUACAAAUGAAAUACCCCCUUCUUUAAUUUCCAAAGUUAAUCCCCAAAUAACCCAUCUUGUUCUAUCUAACCCAUUAGUCCCUAUACAAUCUUGUUUAAGUUUCUUUAAAUUUCUCCAAAAAAACCAAUCUUUGAGUCACCAAAAACCCAAUCUUGAAGCACAUAUAGAUUUGGUUUUGAGACUGUUUAAAGCCAAGAGAUUUGCUGAAGCUAAGAGUAUAUUGAAUGUUGUUGCUGCUAAUGAUGGUAUGAUAAAACCAAUUUUAGAAGUAGGUUCUUUGUUUAGUGAGAAUCAUGUAGAACAUAAGGUUAUAGGGAAGAUUCUUGAUAUGUUGUUUAGGGUUUAUGUUGAUAAUAUGAGGUUUAAGGAAGGUUUAGAGGUAUUUGAGUAUAUGAGGAGUGAGGGGUUUGAGAUUGAUGAUAGAGCUUGUAUGGUUUAUUUGCUUGCUAUGAAAAGGCGAAAACGAUAUGAUUCGUUGGUUGAGUUUUUCGAAAAGAUGGUUGAAUUUGAUGUGAGAAUUACUGUUUAUUCGAUGACGAUGGUGGUUGAUGUGUUGUGUAAAAUGGGGGAGGUUUGUAAGGCAAGAAAGAUCAUGGAUGAAAUAAUGGUUAGUAAAGGGGUGAAACCGAAUGAGUAUACUUAUAACACAUUAUUAGAUGGUUAUAUGAAGAAGUUAGAUUUUGUGGCUAUAAAGGAGAUUUUGAUGACAAUGGAGAAAGAAGGGUUGGAUCUUGAUGCGACGAGUUAUACUCUUUUGAUUGAAGGGUAUUCUAGUUUUGGAAAUCUAAAAGCGGUUGAGAGGUUGUUUAAGGAAAUAGAAGGGAAAGGCAUAGAGCCAGAUGUGCAUUUAUAUACCUCUAUGAUUAGUGGUUGCAGUAAGUUAGGCAAUGUGAAAAAAGCGUUUUCGUUGUUUGAUGAAAUGGUGGAGAGGGGACUCGUUCCGAAUGCUCAUACGUAUGGAGCUUUGAUAAAUUGCUUGUGCAAGGCUGGACAGAUGCAAGCAGCUGAAGUUUUACUUAAUGAGAUGCAAAGUAAAGGUAUUGACAUAAGUCGAGUUAUAUUUAAUACGAUGAUGGAUGGUUACUGUAAGCAAGGUAAUAUAGACGAAGCAUGGAGGCUGCAGAGAAUUAUGGAGGGCAAAGGACAUGAGUCUGAUGUAUAUGUUUAUAAUAUAAUUGCUACUGGAUUGUGUAAGUUAGAUCGGCGUGAGGAAGCAAAGACGUGGUUGCUUUCGAUGGUGGAUCGAGGCGUAGCUCCAAAUGAAGUUGCUUAUACAACUUUGAUCGAUAUUUAUUCUAAGGAAGGAAAUUUUGUUGAAGCAAAAAGGAUACUUCGAGAGAUGGAAUCUAAAGGAGUUAAGGCUAAUACAACAACGUACAAUGCCCUAAUAGAUGGUUAUUGCAAGAAAGGUAUGAUGAAGGAAGCAUAUAGGCUAAAAAUUGUUAUGGAAUCUAAGGGCCUGAUACCUGAUCGUUAUACAUACACCUCACUUGUACAUGGGGAAUGCAUAUCAGGAAAGGUAGAUAAUGCUCUGAAACUUUUCAACGAGAUGCCUACAAAGAGUUUAGUUCCGAAUGUGGUGACUUUCACAGUAAUGAUUUCUGGCUUAUCGAAAGAGGGCAGAUCAGAUGAAGCCUUUAGAUUAUAUGAUGAGAUGAUAGAGGCAGGACUUACACCUGAUGCUAGUGCAUAUUCUGCUCUUGUGGGCAGUCUUCAUAGUUGACGUUUAUUUAGUUGUAAGUCCUAAACUUCAGGUAACUCAGAUAUUGCUAAUUGGAGGUAUAAUAGAUGGUUCAGUAUGUCCUCCGGAUGUCUUACAUGAAAAGGAAUAUAUUGCAGGACAUUCUCAGCUAUGCGAUGUGCCUGGCUUGUUGCUUGUUAUUACAGAUAUUAUCUUGUCCUGGGACAUGGUCUGCCAUAAUCUCAAGGUUGAUAUUUACUUAAAGAUUCAGGAAAGAGCAAAAGCACUGGUCAAGAUAGUCAGAUUUAAGCUGCUUGAAUUCCUCUUAUGAAUUUAGCACAAUGAUCUUACAAGAGAGGAUGAUAGAGCUAUGAUAAGUUUUGUUUUGUUACGUGUUCGUGAUGAGAAAACCACUGCUUAGUGCAUCAUCUCAAACUUUGGAGGGUUUGGUUCAAAAUAUUUUGCUCGUUUACAUGUUUUUUCUUUAAGCUAUAUUGCUUCCUUUGGCGUCCAGUAUGAUAUUGUCUUGAGAAUGGAAGAAUCAGAAGAAAAGAAAUGUAUCACUAUGGAGAUGACGGUGGAUGAUGGCAAGUUUGUAGGUUAUGUCACAUUUUUUGGCUGAGUGGUCAGUUAUUCUCACAAGGAAGAAGAAAAAGAGAAUGUUGUGAGAUGUGUUUCUUGUACCAGAUGAUGAAAAAGACUUCUUCAGAUAUGCACUGUGUUCUAAUACUGGCCUGAAAGAAUAGAUAUCAUGUGGCAAUUCUCAUCAUUGUGGCUUCUGAGGUACAAUAUCUAUGCAGCACCCAAUCCAAUUGUUAAUAAGUUAAUAUGGCGAUGACCUUUGUUCCUUGGCUUGAAUUUGACACAAGCAAACUUGUUAAAGAUGCCGAUGCUCUCUGCUGAUGUAUAGCUUUAGGUUCCUUGUAUUUUACCAGGGAAGCGAUAAACUGACUAUAUAUGUGAUUUUUUCAUACUUGUUUUCCAUAUUCUACUUUCAUAAUCCCUUCUGAAGCUGGCUGCAACUCUUGAAAGAGAUGAAGCAUGAGUUUCUGUUUUUCAAAAGCUUGUUUCAUUAAGAUUUUUUAAAAUUUUUUGUGGGAAAAAAAAUGAUUUAAGUGGAGUUCCUCUCACAGAACAUUUGCACAACUUAAGAAAAUAACUCUCUGUACACGUUUUUUCUUUUUGCGCAAAGUUUUUUCUUCAAGAAUUUUCCAUACGCCUAGUAGCUGACUUUUUGCAUCAUCAUGGGGGUCAUUCUUAUAUUAUACUAUUAGCUAUGAGAUAUCUUCGUCACCAUUUGAAAUGACUAUUUUAUUCCUAUUAAGUCUCUGAUUAGCAGAUUGACCCUCCUAAGCUUUUCAGAUGGUGUAGUUUGAUAAAGAACUCAUGAUGCUUGCGGCACUUUGCAGUUUGCUUCCAUCCGUAUGGAUUUUGCAAUUCUUAGCGAUGAGAUGAAAUGUAGAGAAUAUGAUCAGGGGAGGUUCAGGAAUGGGAGGAGGAGGAUUAAAUCCAUUUGGUGGAGCAGGGGUAGCUAUAUAUAUACAUUCCACUUUGAAGGAGGAGUGUUUCCUGGUAUUGGAUUUGGUGAGUUCGCUGGUAGUAGAUAUAGUGUUUUUGGCCUUGAUGGAAUUUGUCGUCAUACUUAACUAAGAAACUCCAACUUGCAUGGGAUUGAGGCAUAGUUGUUGUUGUUGUUGCUGCUCAACUAAGAAACUCAUAUAGCCGCCUUUGAUAUAGAGUGCAGAGAAGUAUGCUCUUACGAUCUUUCCCUUGAAGUUUUGUUUUGCCAAUAGCUUUCUCCUCAUGAAAUAUUAAGUUGCUGUUGAUUGAACGCAACAAAAGACCCCUUGUUUCGGACCUAUAACAGGUUCAUUUGUAGACUGGCUAGGUAGGCUGGUACAUUGGGUAGCAAAUAACUCAUGGCCGCUUGUGAUAUAUAUAUAUAUAUAUAUAUAUAUAUAUAUAUAUAU